GACGAACGCUGGCGGCGUGCUUAACACAUGCAAGUCGAACGGAAAGGCCCUGCUUUUGUGGGGUGCUCGAGUGGCGAACGGGUGAGUAACACGUGAGUAACCUGCCCUUGACUUUGGGAUAACUUCAGGAAACUGGGGCUAAUACCGGAUAGGAGCUCCUGCUGCAUGGUGGGGGUUGGAAAGUUUCGGCGGUUGGGGAUGGACUCGCGGCUUAUCGGCUUGUUGGUGGGGUAGUGGCUUGCCAAGGCUUUGACCGGUAGCCGGCAUGAGAGGGUGACCGGCCACAUUGGGACUGAGAUACGGCCCAGACUCCUACGGUAGGCAGCAGUGGGGAAUAUUGCACAAUGGGCGGAAGCCGGAUGCAGCAACGCCGCGUGCGGGAUGACGGCCUUCGGGUUGUAAACCGCUUUCGCCUGUGACGAAGCGUGAGUGACGGUAAUGGGUAAAGAAGCACCGGCUAACUACGUG
rnacentral:rRNA from 1 species